CCUACGGGAGACAGCAGUGAGGAAUAUUGGUCAAUGGACGAGAGUCUGAACCAGCCAAGUAGCGUGAAGGAUGACUGCCCUAUGGGUUGUAAACUUCUUUUAUAAAGGAAUAAAACGAGGCACGUGUGCCUUUUUGCAUGUACUUUAUGAAUAAGGAUCGGCUAACUCCGUGCCAGCAGCCGCGGUAAUACGGAGGAUCCGAGCGUUAUCCGGAUUUAUUGGGUUUAAAGGGAGCGUAGAUGGGUUGUUAAGUCAGUUGUGAAAGUUUGCGGCUCAACCAUAAAAUUGCAAUUGAUACUGGCAGUCGUGAGUACAGUUGAGGUAAGCGGAAUUCGUGGUGUAGCGGUGAAAUGCUUAGAUAUCACGAAGAACCCCGAUUGCGAAGGCAGCUUACUAAACUGUGACUGACAUUGAUGCUCGAAAGUGUGGGUAUCAAACAGGAUUAGAUACCCCAGUAGUC
rnacentral:rRNA from 1 species